UCCGUUUUUGCACUAUUUGCGGACACACCACAGACUUGGCUCUGACGUGAACUGAUCAGCUGUUCAGGUCUUUAGCUUCAUAGUGACACAACUUCCAACAAACUAAAUAAAGAUUGAUUCUGACCGCGCCGGUGUGAUGCCGUUUGCUAAGGAUACAUGUGGACAACUUUAUGAGCUGGAGUUUACAGAGGAAAGGUGAUUAAUGCACCGGAUCAAAAAAAGUGGAGACACUUCUGAGCUUCACUGGAGAGCAGGAGAGAUCCCGAGUUACCUGGUGGUGCAGAUGUAUAAACUAUGAGCUGAUGCCGACGAACCGAGGAAACCACCUGCUGUCACGAUUAAGACUUGGCAACAACAGUGCCUCUGGACCUAGGAAUGAGGUUUAACCAGAGGAUCACACAGGGCUGCAGUCAGCGACGCUCACCAACCAGAGUCCACGGCCCAACUGAACGCCAGUGUUUGUUUCUGACUUUCUUCAAUGUUUUGGAGAUACAUCGAAAAGCUGAAAAGCUGAAUGCAAGUUCGUCUUCAAAGGGGAGAGAGACGUCUCAACUGCACACCUGCUCAGGGUCAAAAUCACAGGAAAUAGAAAAAAAGAAAAGAAGGAAGGAACUCAACCUGACACAUUUUCCCGCAGACAAUGCCAAAAGACGACUGAAGACAGGGCGGGAAAUGACAACACAAAAAGUUCACACCUUCCUGCCUUCCUCUGUUUACCUGUAACAGAGCUGUUGUGAUCAUUUCCGGGAACCCAGGACAAGGUAACAUUCCUCGGACCAUCAAGUUCAGAUAUCUCUACCUUUCUUGGAGCAUCUGGAACAUCUGCAACACAAAAUACGUUUUACAAAAUGAGAUGUUCGAUAGCAGCGUUUGAAUUAGAGAUUCAAACCACAAUGUAACACACAGCUUUAGAUUAUUUAUGUCACUGUCUACGCAUAUCACACCAUAUACGCACACAUGAGACCUUGCAAGAAAUCUGUUAUCAAUAAUAAAUUAUAUUCCAUAA